rnacentral:rRNA from 1 species
UACGUAGGGGGCUAGCGUUGUCCGGAAUCAUUGGGUGUAAAGCGCGUGUAGGCGGUCCGGUAAGUCUGCUGUGAAAGUCGGGGGCUCAACCCUCGAAUGCCGGUGGAUACUGUCGGGCUAGAGUGCGGAAGAGGCGAGUGGAAUUCCUGGUGUAGCGGUGAAAUGCGCAGAUAUCAGGAGGAACACCUAUUGCGAAGGCAGCUCGCUGGGACGUAACUGACGCUGAGACGCGAAAGCGUGGGGAGCAAACAGG